rnacentral:rRNA from 1 species
UUAUUUGAAGAGUUUGAUCAUGGCUCAGAUUGAACUCUGGCGGCAUGCCUAACACAUGCAAGUCGAACGGAAACAUGUCUAGCUUGCUAGAUGAUGUUGAGUGGCGGACGCGGGAGUAAUGGUUGGGGACUUGACUUUUCGAGGUGGGGAACAGAUGG